GCUCCGGUGGCCAAGUGGUUAGCGCGUCAACCUAGAAUGCGGGAGGUUGUGGGUUUGAUCCCCCCGCAGAGUCA